rnacentral:rRNA from 1 species
ACCAAGACGACGAUGCGUAGGGGUUCUGAGAGGAAGGUCCCCCACACUGGUACUGAGACACGGACCAGACUCCUACGGGAGGCAGCAGUGAGGAAUAUUGGUCAAUGGGCGGGAGCCUGAACCAGCCAAGUCGCGUGAGGGAUGACGGCCCUAUGGGUUGUAAACCUCUUUUGCCGGGGAGCAAAGUGCCGCACGUGUGCGGUUUGGAGAGUACCCGGAGAAAAAGCAUCGGCUAACUCCGUGCCAGCAGCCGCGGUAAUACGGAGGAUGCGAGCGUUAUCCGGAUUUAUUGGGUUUAAAGGGUGCGUAGGCGGACGCUUAAGUCAGCGGUAAAAUUGCGGGGCUCAACCUCGUCGAGCCGUUGAAACUGGGUGCCUUGAGUGGGCGAGAAGUACGCGGAAUGCGUGGUGUAGCGGUGAAAUGCAUAGAUAUCACGCAGAACUCCGAUUGCGAAGGCAGCGUACCGGCGCCCAACUGACGCUGAAGCACGAAGGCGUGG